rnacentral:rRNA from 1 species
GUGGGGAAUAUUCCGCAAUGGACGAAAGUCUGACGGAGCAACGCCGCGUGAGUGAUGAAGGUUUUCGGACUGUAAAGCUCUGUUGUUUAGGACGAAAGUGCCUGUUGCGAACAGUUACAGGUAUUGACGGUACUAAACGAGGAAGCCACGGCUAACUACGUGCCAGCAGCCGCGGUAAUACGUAGGUGGCAAGCGUUGUCCGGAAUUAUUGGGCGUAAAGAGCAUGUAGGCGGAGAUUUAAGUCUGUUGUGAAAAUGCGGGGCUCAACCCCGUAUUGCGAUGGAAACUGAAUUUCUUGAGUGCAGGAGAGGAAAGGGGAAUUCCCAGUGUAGCGGUGAAAUGCGUAGAUAUUGGGAGGAACACCAGUGGCGAAGGCGGCUUCCUGGCACAAUACUGACGCUCAUGUGCGAAAGCUAGGGCAGCGAACGGGAUUAGAUACCCUUGUAGUCC